AUACAUGCAAGUCGAGCGGACAGAAGGGAGCUUGCUCCCGGAUGUUAGCGGCGGACGGGUGAGUAACACGUGGGUAACCUGCCUGUAAGACUGGGAUAACUCCGGGAAACCGGAGCUAAUACCGGAUAGUUCCUUGAACCGCAUGGUUCAAGGAUGAAAGACGGUUUCGGCUGUCACUUACAGAUGGACCCGCGGCGCAUUAGCUAGUUGGUGGGGUAAUGGCUCACCAAGGCGACGAUGCGUAGCCGACCUGAGAGGGUGAUCGGCCACACUGGGACUGAAACACGGCCCAAACUCCUACGGGAGGCAGCAGUAGGGAAUCUUCCGCAAUGGACGAAAGUCUGACGGAGCAACGCCGCGUGAGUGAUGAAGGUUUUCGGAUCGUAAAGCUCUGUUGUUAGGGAAGAACAAGUGCGAGAGUAACUGCUCGCACCUUGACGGUACCUAACCAGAAAGCCACGGCUAACUACGUGCCAGCAGCCGCGGUAAUACGUAGGUGGCAAGCGUUGUCCGGAAUUAUUGGGCGUAAAGGGCUCGCAGGCGGUUUCUUAAGUCUGAUGUGAAAGCCCCCGGCUCAACCGGGGAGGGUCAUUGGAAACUGGGAAACUUGAGUGCAGAAGAGGAGAGUGGAAUUCCACGUGUAGCGGUGAAAUGCGUAGAGAUGUGGAGGAACACCAGUGGCGAAGGCGACUCUCUGGUCUGUAACUGACGCUGAGGAGCGAAAGCGUGGGGAGCGAACAGGAUUAGAUACCCUGGUAGUCCACGCCGUAAACGAUGAGUGCUAAGUGUUAGGGGGUUUCCGCCCCUUAGUGCUGCAGCUAACGCAUUAAGCACUCCGCCUGGGGAGUACGGUCGCAAGACUGAAACUCAAAGGAAUUGACGGGGGCCCGCACAAGCGGUGGAGCAUGUGGUUUAAUUCGAAGCAACGCGAAGAACCUUACCAGGUCUUGACAUCCUCUGACAACCCUAGAGAUAGGGCUUUCCCUUCGGGGACAGAGUGACAGGUGGUGCAUGGUUGUCGUCAGCUCGUGUCGUGAGAUGUUGGGUUAAGUCCCGCAACGAGCGCAACCCUUGAUCUUAGUUGCCAGCAUUUAGUUGGGCACUCUAAGGUGACUGCCGGUGACAAACCGGAGGAAGGUGGGGAUGACGUCAAAUCAUCAUGCCCCUUAUGACCUGGGCUACACACGUGCUACAAUGGACAGAACAAAGGGCUGCGAGACCGCAAGGUUUAGCCAAUCCCAUAAAUCUGUUCUCAGUUCGGAUCGCAGUCUGCAACUCGACUGCGUGAAGCUGGAAUCGCUAGUAAUCGCGGAUCAGCAUGCCGCGGUGAAUACGUUCCCGGGCCUUGUACACACCGCCCGUCACACCACGAGAGUUUGCAACACCCGAAGUCGGUGAGGUAACCUUUAUGGAGCCAGCCGCCGAAGGUGGGAC
rnacentral:rRNA from 1 species